rnacentral:rRNA from 1 species
GACGUAGGGCGCGAGCGUUGUCCGGAUUUAUUGGGCGUAAAGAGCGUGUAGGCGGCCAGGUAGGUCUGCUGUGAAAACUCGAGGCUCAACCUCGAGACGUCGGCGGAAACCAUCUGGCUAGAGUCCGGAAGAGGAGAGUGGAAUUCCUGGUGUAGCGGUGAAAUGCGCAGAUAUCAGGAGGAACACCGGUGGCGAAGGCGGCUAUCUGGACAGAAACUGACGCUGAGGCGCGAAAGCUAGGGGAGCAAACAGG